rnacentral:rRNA from 1 species
AUUGAACGCUGGCGGAAUGCUUUACACAUGCAAGUCGAACGGCAGCACGGGGCAACCUGGUGGCGAGUGGCGAACGGGUGAGUAAUACAUCGGAACGUGCCCAAUCGUGGGGGAUAACGUAGCGAAAGUUACGCUAAUACCGCAUACGAUCUACGGAUGAAAGCGGGGGAUCGCAAGACCUCGCGCGAGUGGAGCGGCCGAUGUCAGAUUAGGUAGUUGGUGGGGUAAAGGCUCACCAAGCCAACGAUCUGUAGCUGGUCUGAGAGGACGACCAGCCACACUGGAACUGAGACACGGUCCAGACUCCUACGGGAGGCAGCAGUGGGGAAUUUUGGACAAUGGGCGCAAGCCUGAUCCAGCCAUUCCGCGUGCAGGAUGAAGGCCUUCGGUUGUAACUGCUUUUGUACGGUAACGAAACGGCGAGCUCUAAUACAGUUUGCUAAUGACGGUACCGUAAGAAUAAGACACCGGCUAACUACGUAGCCAGCAGCCGCGGUAAU